UCGGGAAUCUUCCGCAAUGGGCGCAAGCCUGACGGAGCGACACCGCGUGCAGGAUGAAGGCCUUCGGGUUGUAAACUGCUGUCACGCCAUAGGAAUGUCAAACGGUAAACAGUCGUUUGAUUGACUAAAGCGAGAGGAAGAGCCGGCUAACUCUGUGCCAGCAGCCGCGGUAAGACAGAGGGCUCAAACGUUGUUCGGAAUCACUGGGCAUAAAGGGCGCGUAGGCGGCCUAACAAGUCGUUUGUGAAAUCCCCAGCUCAACUGGGGAACUGCAUGCGAUACUGUUUGGCUCGAGGACGGGAGGGGUAAGUGGAACUCCAGGUGGAACGGUGAAAUGUGUAGAUAUCUGGAGGAACACCGGUGGCGAAAGCGGCUUACUGGCCCGUAUCUGACGCUGAGGCGCGAAAGCUAGGGGAGCAAACGGGAUUAGAUACCCCCGUAGUCCCUGAGCGGGCUGGCAAGGCGCAU
rnacentral:rRNA from 1 species